rnacentral:lncRNA from 1 species
ACACCACGCUUGGACUCUAGCACUGCAUCGGUACUUGUGCGUUGCACCAAUUCCUCGCCAUUUCAUUCGUUUUUGCAGAGUUAUGCGUCGCCACAAGUACAGUGAACAACUUCUUACAUUUAGCACGCAUUUUGGCUGGAGCAACGAGGCGUGCCAAGUGCACUGGAAAAACCGGGAAGGGCCCCCGCGGCGAGCUCGAUGCGACCGCACUGGCUAUUGCCCCUCCCCCUUCGGGGGAAGGGGCAAGCCAACUGUCACGUACAUGCAGAGUAAGAGGCCGGGGCAAUGCGCCGCGCAGACGCACACGGCGGGUCGGCCUGGCAGGCUACUCCGGUUGAAAGCAACGACAUCUCGAUACCGUGCAUUUCUCUCCUCAGAUGGGUUGUUUGUUCUCUUGUGUGGGGUUGAGUCAGGUCGAGUCCCGACCCAGGCCGACCCAGGCUCUGGACUGAGCCGCGCCCGGCUAUGGAGGCACGGCUACAGAUGGAGGCUUCCUCAACAAACAAUAACCCACUGGUAUGCACACUCGAAAGUGUAUACCCCGUGGCCUGCAACCAUCUGCAACCGCUUGGCAUGCAAAUGCAAAUGCAGGGGUAUGUGUCGAGGGUAGGUGUGUGCAGAUGCACAGCAGCCGCCGGGUGUCCUCCUGCAUGCAGCAAACGCCACCUGCAGCCCUUUGCGACGUCAGUGCGCACUCCUCACCCCUCUCGUCCGCUUGGCACUUCCCACAGCCCCGCUCGCCCGGUUUACUCCCGCUCCGCAACCCGCACAAACACCAGCAUGGCCGCAUCACGCCACGCCGCCAUGCCUCACUCCCAUUCUCUCACUCUCUAUCACUCUCUCUGACAUUUCUCUCCUCACACGCCGCCUGCCCGCACCAUGCGCCUGUACUGCCUGACGGUCAGGGCGUACAGCUCCCGGGUGCCCAGCAGCGACAGCAGGUUCAGCCCGCCCAGCACACACCUGCACACCCAGCAGAGACCACAUGCACACACGCGUGUUUGCGGCGUCAGGGGAGCGAGGGGCGCGACGUACCAGGGCACCGUGACGCGGGCAUUGCAAGCGUUACACGGUGUGCGUGCGACACCCACAACCUCAAACACCGCCAACCCUAAUCCCGGUGUUCCGGUCAUGCCCACCUGCUCCCCCUCAAGUACCAGACCCCACACAAACCCGGUGCCCCCUCCCCAUGCAUCCGGCCCCGCGCGCGCGCUGCUCUCACCAUGUGGCGAAGUAGCAGUCCGCCCCCUGGCAGAACAGGCUGUCGCCGUGCUGCCGCGCCGCCCGGUCGUACAGCUUGCCGGUCAGCACCGUGGCCAGCAGGUAGCCGCCGGCGGCCGGGCCCAGCUGGGGGGGGGGGCAGGGGAGGCAUUGCAGGGUUAGGAGGAGUUGUCAGUAAUACUUGGAACAACGUGUAUACGCACACGUCGCGUAAAGAUGGAACAUGCGUAAGCGAUAAGUCAACGUGACGACGCGACACGCGCCGCCCUCCCUAGCCUGUAUGCCGCGCCCCUACCUGCAGCCCGGUGUAGUUGCUGCCAAAGUGGGUCAGGCCGAACAGGUCGCUGGUGACGGCGGGUAUGACGCCCCAGUGCGCGCCGAACGCCAGCCCCGCCACCAGGCUGACCGCGUACAGGUCGCCAAGGUCGGAGGCGG